rnacentral:rRNA from 1 species
AAUACGUUCCCGGGCCUUGUACACACCGCCCGUCACACCACGAAAGUGGGUAACACCCGAAGCCGGUGGCCCAACCCUUUGGGAGGGAGCCGUCGAAGGUGGGAUCCGCGAUUGGGGUG